AUGAAUGUAACAAGAUAGAAUACAUACCUCUUGAUGUAGCUUGAUGUCUUCAAGCUUUAAGAGCUUAGCCCCAAUAGUGUGGAAGCCUCAAGUGGAAUCACAAAUCACCAAGACACCUUGGAAUACUUUAGAGAAUACGAUUACUUGGUUCUCUCUAGUGAAAUUGGCUAGCCCUUCUUUAGUGUAUCCACACUAGUGCCAAUUUCACCAACCAAAGACAUCUUUAUAUAGUAUGGAGGAUUAGGGUUAAACCCUAAUACCCAUGACCUUUCAUUUCCUAGGAUCCAUGGGUUAAACACUCCAUGGACUAUCCAUGAAAGCUUAGCCCAACCUAAAUGAACUUGGCCCAUUCCAUAUAUAUAAGAGUCCAUAUUUAAUUAGUUCCUUUUGAUCACUUAAUUAAUUAUAAAUUAAUUCUUGAUCAAUACUAAUUAAAUAAUAUGAUUCCAUAUUAAUAUAUUAGAACUUAUAAUAUAUUAAUAUUAAUCAUAAACAUACUAUUCUCAAAAGAUUAUCCAUAUAAAUUGUGUCGGUGAAGUGCAACCCAAAUGGACCAUGCCGGGUCGGGUCAAGUACAUACCAAAUAUAGUUAUGGACUUAGACAUUAAUCCAACAGUCUCCCACUUGGAUAAGUCUAAAACUAUUAUUGCGUAUGACUUCAAACCUAACUGGCAAUCGUAGCUCUUAAAGCUGCUGUCGAACUCUGAUCUUGUCAACGAACUUGUCCAUUAGAUAAGGGAUCAUAUAUUCCUCCAUUCUAGAUAUCAUAUGGACUGAGACAUGGAUUAUAAUCAUUCUCUCUGUCCAUUUGUUGUUUCCCGAUUUCCGAUUUAUGACGACUGACUAAUUGAACAAAUCAAAUCAGUCCUGGCCCGGCCGAGCACUUCCAUUUGUCAUCAUCAAAUCAUCGAGGGGCCCACAGAUAUCGCUUUUAUCCCGAAGGUAAAAGGAAUGGAUAAACUUCGACUCAUAUGGCUUGUUCUACUACUUGUUGAAUCAUACACAAAGGCACGUUUUAUAGCACCGAGUUACCAAAUGCGUUUUCGUGCAAUCAAUGUACAACCAACUCAUAGUAACAACUCAUAUCUCUAGGUUUGAAGAAUAUAAGAUAUUAUCGUCUCAUGAUCACUCGUGAUAAAAUCCAUGAAGUGAUUCCAAUGAGCGCGGGUUGAAUCCAAUACUCAGAACUUAUGAGCACUCAUGAGUGUUGUAGCCCUUUGUCCAACACCUUAGACCUCUACAAGCCAACCCAUGACAGUCUUAAUUCAUAUCUACUUCCAACAUAUGACCGACUGUGGAUGGUUUGAAUAACUUAGUCAUUCCGGAAGAAUAACCUAGUUUAUUCGGGAAGUCAAAACAUGCAAAGUGAAACACAAUAAUAAUUGAAUCCAAUAUGGUAUCAACCCUUUGAACAUAAAUAAAACACCUUUUAUUUAUCACCAUAUGAUUACACAUUAUUCAUUGUAUACUGUUUCAGCUAUCAACUUUAUUCUUGAAUUUAAAACAAUAGUUGUCCCAUGCUCCAAGCAUGUACACUAUGUUUUCUUAAACACUAGUCAUGCCACACACCAAGUAUGCAUACUAUGUUUGUCUAUGAUCUUUACUUUGUGAACUAGAUCAAUUGAACAUAACUUCAAUGAUUCUCUUUUCACACUCCCAAAUCCUUACUGCAAAUGCAAGAAUUCCAAAUUCAUGCCAUUUACUGAAAUCUGUUAGAUUCUAAACUUAUAUGCAUUGAUCCUCUUGUAAUGAUUAUGCACAAAGUCACAAAGACUUGGCAACAAUCAUUACAGAGUAUUCCAAAGGAGAUCAACUCCUUGGAAAUAUCCUUCUUGCAUUAAGUUUCCUUAAUCUUACACAGAUUGAAAAUUCUAACUUUGAAACAUUUCCAGAUUCCAUUUUGACUAUCACUUCUGAACAAGAGUUGCCUCCUUACAGAUUAUGUCAAUAUGGUCCUUCCAGAAUUAUCACUAUACUUCCAAUUGUCCUUGAGUAACCAAUCUUUGGUAAACCUUAGAUUGUCCUCGACAAUUGUUUAAUCCUUUUAGUCAUAUCCAGUUCUAAACCUUUUCCCUUCUUAAUGCCCCAGGCAUUUGGAAAAUUUUAGAACGGAUGAAUAUAGCACAUGUAAUCGAUCCUAUAUCCGAAGCAUAUGGGACACGAUUCAUGAUGUCUUACAUAAAGACUAAACCAGUCUUUUGCUAUAAUAUUUCCAUUUCAAUUUGCCAAGUUCUCAUAAUUCAGAUUAUGAAAAGGGAUGCCGUAAUCAUAAUCGAAUUUUAGAACGCAAAUAAUGGACCCAUAUACAGAAUUUCCUUAUGUUGAGCCAUUCCAACAUGAAAUUCAUAUAUAUCCUUGACUAAAUGAUUAAAACCUCACGAUCUAAGCUUAUAGAUUUGAGAUGAAGCAUAAUUUCCUCUCCCUUAAUUAUAGCAAAACAACUUUUUCCCAAUUGAAACUUUUGUUUUCUAUAAUUAACAUUGCUAACUUGCAAUACUUAUCAUAAUUAUCAUGCUCCCACUAACAUGAUGAUUAUUAGCAUAACACUUAUGCUCCCACUAGCUUUGACAUGUACUCAGAAAUCAGCUGGACAGUCUGAAAUUUAGAUUCAUACACCCUUUCCGUAGAUAGCUCACCUGUGUGUCUAAGCAAUUUCAAGAACCAUGAAAAGGGAUACCGUAAUCAUGGUCUCAAUUGCUUAGGCAUUUGCCAUUUCUCACAAGUCCAUGUUAGUGUGCCGGUUAACCACACGCGCUCCACUAACGACUUUUGAAAAUGCAAAUAACACAAUUGAUAUCUUCGUAAAAUCUACUUAGUGAAAGCGUUUCCUCACCAUCAUUUUCAUGAAUCGGAGAGAAACCUUAUGACACUUAGAUUUAUAUGGUGUAUGAGUUCCUACCCAUAUGAAUUUGUCAAACCAUAAUCACAAGACAAAGAUAAUGACAAAUCCAAAACCAUAUGGAUUGAACUCAAUCUUAACUUCUUGCCACCUGGCAGCUCAAGGGCCUGCCAUUGCUUCCAAGUUGUUAUGCAACAAACUGAGAACUCUAAGAACUCAUAUGCAAAGCCAACUUUAACUGGAAUGGGCACAGAUAUGUCAACACGAUAGGUUAUAAACCUCAAGUCGUGUGCUAGUGAAGAACUUUAGGUUUUAUUCUUGAUUAUUUCUUGAGACUUUCAAGACCUUUAAGACUCCCACUGUCCUCUUGACAUAUAAGACUCCCUUGUCAAACAUCCAAGAGAUAGUGCGGAUUCUAAUCAAGAAAAACACUUUACCCAAUUGGCCUAAGUUGGUCUUUGUUUUAUCCAAAACAUCACAACUUACCAAUUUCAAAUGUACAAGAGUAGAAAACUUUUACUCUUACAUUUGACAAGUGUUUUAAACCUUCUUUAAGACAUGUCACUCAAAUGACAAUCUUGGAGUAUGACUCUAAGACUUGUAUUGGAACGAAGUAUGACUCAUCUUCUUGAUUUAACCAUUUCAACAAUUCAAGUUCCUCUUCUUAGUCAUAAGAAUGCACUAAGAUUUCCUUAGAGAACUAAUUUUGAUAUGGUUUCUUAAUCAUUAAGAUGAUCACAAAACUGAUACUAAAGUACUCUCCCAUCUUUUCAGAUUUGAGAAACUUUUAUCCUUCUGCCUUAUUUGAUUCUUCUUAUCGAUCUUUAGUGGUGGACUUAAUCAGUGCACAAGAAUGUGUACUCGAUCCCUAAGUCCUUUACUUGACUCACACAUCCAUGUGAACAAGUAAUUAGUCUUAAUUUUCCAAAACUUGAAAGUUCUCAUUCAUCAUGCUAUACAACUUGCAUGAUUCCAAGUUCCGGUCCAAUUGAAACUUGGGUGAUGAGAAUCUUUCCUUAUUUGGUAAAUUUAGACAUUACCACAAAUGAAAGAAUCAAUUUCAUAUUUCCACUCUUGCUCUUAAUGGAAUCAUAUAAGCAACAAUUUUUCCUCAAAUGCCAUUGUAAGGAUAUUUUAAAAUAAAUAAAAAAAAAAAAAAAAAAUUUUCUUUUAUUUUAAAACUUUGCGGAAAAACUUAUCCUUACAAUCCAUAUGAAAACUUGUUGUUAUCUAUUCCUAAGCAAUAUCUCAUAACUCCUAAGAAGUAGCUCAAGAAUCCGAUCUUCAAACUAUGCGAUAGAAAUCCAUCUACGCCAUCAGAUUCAGCAUAUUCUUUCUUUAAGUUUCUUCACUUUUCUUUGAUUCUUAAAACAUCACCAUGUGACCCAGUCACAUCAUGUAUCAAGAAUCUCAGAAUAGAAACUUAACAGAGUUAGAUAGUGGACUUUACCUGAAGUAGAGUCAAACUUAUUGACUUUAACAUCCUUAGGUAAAUUUGGCAGCUUCGCAACCAAUGCCCCUUCCUUUGGCAAUAUAAACAUAUGGACCCUUUGAUAAUGGUACACGAGACUAUCACAGACUUAGCUUUUCUCUUUACCAUUUGGUCAACCGAGUUGACUAUGGCCGAUCCCUUUCCAUUGGGAAGAGAAUGCUUUACUGGAUAUCCAAUGUCAUCAUUGUCAAUGUCCAUAAAGUUUUAGGAAGUUGAUCUUAGCAAAUAGAUAAGAUCAUUAAGGGUCUUGUCAUAGUCUGUUUCAUAGGUGUCCCAAAGGAACUCACUAUGUGACUUAGAAAGUGGUUGAACCACCAACUUUCUCAAGACUUUGACACCCAACUCUCCCGGCUUGUCAAUAUGUGACUACAUCUCCAAGAUGUGACCACACCUAGACCUUGCCUUGCCAAUAGGGCCUGAGUGACCUUAAACUUUUCAAGAACUUGUGGGUUAGGGAGAAUAAUUUGAAGAGGUGAAGAAGUAUGAUAUCCAUGGGACAUCAUCUUCAUUAGGAAACCUUGUUUCAAGAGAUUUGGGAAGAUCAUAGGUGUCUAAACCAGACAUCUUUUGGGAGAUAUUCAAGAUAGUUGAUUUAAAGUCCUUAAUAUGACACCCAAUAUGAAAUAUUAAGGCUAGGACCCAACAAACUAUUUUAUAACUUAGAAGAGGUAUGCCGUAAUCCAAGCUAUAAAAUAUUUGAAGGUAGGUGAAUGACGAUUCACCAAUUUCCACCAAGAUAAACGAAAUGUAUUAUUAGGUUUUAAUUGGUUUUGAAACUCCUAGAUCUUUGAGAUUCAUUGAACUUUUCAAAGGCAUGUUUCAAUCUCGAGUGUGCCCUUCAGGUUUUGUGACUGGGAUGCCGAGGAUCACAAAACAAGGUGUGAAGUAACCAUGCAAAUCACUUGGUACCCUUAAUAAAUUACCCCUCAAUCGAUGUGCCGGUUAACCACACACGCUCCAUCGAUACUAUGAUAAAUAUUAAGUCACCCUUUACCUACCUUGUUAAGUCCAAGUUAGUGUGCCGGUUAACCACACACGCUCCACUAACGACUUAGACAAAGUGUAAAGUGUAAUUUCAUGGAUUAGCACCUUAUUCACAUUUUUCCUAAGUAACUAAGAUUGGGUAUUAUUAAGAGUUUAGUUACUUAGUAUUAUCAUUAAUACUUUUAAUGAAGGGAGAAUUCUAGUCCUGUCAAACCCGUUCGGCUAACGACCCUCCACCAGUCAAGCAAGCGGUGGGUGAGAGUGGACACCCAUUAAGUUGCCAUUUUAUAGGCAACAACCUUAUACCCACCUUAUAGACCGGCUUCGUGAAUGAGGCGUACUAGCGGUAAGACUGACUUUACUCUUAUACAUAUAUAUAUUAUUAACUUAUAAUAUUAUAAAGUAUAAGGGUUGAAUUUUAACUUUUAAAAUUCUAAGGGCUAACUUGGAAUUAAAGUAUUCAUAAGUGAAAACUUUACAAAUUCCAAAACUUGAGGGCAAGUUUUGAAACUAUUCAAAACUAAUUAAUUCCAUAACUUAUGUGUUUAAAGUAGUUUUAAUCCAAAAACUCUUCAAGUUCCAUAACUUGAGGACAAGUUAUGGAAGACUUUAAACUAAUAAAAGAAUUAACUUUUCUUUAUUUUAUAACUUAUGGAAUUAAUUAAGGUUACACCUUUUUUUAUUUUAUUUUAUUUUAUUAAAUGAAGAGACUCUUGGUCCUCCAUAACUUGAGGACAAGUUAUGGAGUCAUAAAACCAUUUAAUUAGAACUAGACUCUUCAUUUUUGUAACCUUUGCCAAUUUUUAUGAGUUUUAUGAUUCUUAAAUGUGACUUUUCAUAUAACUUGAGGACAAGUUACAAAAACACAUUUUAGAAUCAAUUCUUAGAUUAAUUUGGAUUAAAACCAACUAUCACAUAAUUUUAUUCAUUAAUCUAAAUUCACUCAUAAAACAAGAUAACACAAAAAACUUUUGGUGAUCCAUAACUUAUUCUUAAGUUAUGGAAUCCUUUAAAACAUUAACACCAAAUUUUGUAACUCCAAAAAAACUUUGAAUCAAUUUUUUUUUUAAAACCUUUUCAUAUCCAUAACUUAUGGAGGUUUCAAAAAAUAAAACUCUUUAGAUCAAACUUUUAAAACUAAUAAAAUAAUCAUAUUAUUUUAUCUUUUAUUAAAUUUGACCUAAUUCAACUCAUAAAGCAAAUUAUUCAAAUUUUACAAAUAAUUAGUUUUUCACAAGAACAAGUAAUUAUCUUAAAAUUUGACGAACUUCAUGUUUUUUUUUUUUUUUUUUUUUUUUCAACUUUGAAAAUAAAAUAUUUGCAUCAAUAUAACAGAAAACAACCCGUGGCUCUGAUACCACUGUUGGGUUUUGAGCAUUCUAACACUUCCUAAGUGUACAUGCAACCCUAAAUACCUUGGAUCUAUGUUUUCUCUAUUAUACAUGCAAAUAAGAACAUCCAAGGUAUUAUCCUAAUCUAGCAUACAAAAACUAUGAAUGCAACAAGAUAGAAUACAUACCUCUUGAUGUAGCUUGAUGUCUUCAAGCUUUAAGAGCUUAGCCCCAAUAGUGUGGAAGCCUCAAGUGGAAUCACAAAUCACCAAGACACCUUGGAAUACUUUAGAGAAUACGAUUACUUGGUUCUCUCUAGUGAAAUUGGCUAGCCCUUCUUUAGUGUAUCCACACUAGUGCCAAUUUCACCAACCAAAGACAUCUUUAUAUAGUAUGGAGGAUUAGGGUUAAACCCUAAUACCCAUGACCUUUCAUUUCCUAGGAUCCAUGGGUUAAACACUCCAUGGACUAUCCAUGAAAGCUUAGCCCAACCUAAAUGAACUUGGCCCAUUCCAUAUAUAUAAGAGUCCAUAUU
rnacentral:lncRNA from 1 species